UACAGAGGGUGCAAGCGUUAAUCGGAAUUACUGGGCGUAAAGCGUGCGUAGUCGGUUAUUUAAGUCGGAUGUGAAAUCCCCGGGCUCAACCUGGGAAUUGCAUUCGAUACUGGAUAGCUAGAGUUCGGCAGAGGGAAGUGGAAUUUCUGGUGUAGCGGUGAAAUGCGUAGAUAUCAGAAGGAACAUCAGUGGCGAAAGCGACUUCCUGGACCAGAACUGACGAUCAGGCACGAAAGCGUGGGGAGCAAACGGG
rnacentral:rRNA from 1 species